CGCGGCCUAUCAGCUUGUUGGUGAGGUAAUGGCUCACCAAGGCGACGACGGGUAGCCGGCCUGAGAGGGUGACCGGCCACACUGGGACUGAGACACGGCCCAGACUCCUACGGGAGGCAGCAGUGGGGAAUAUUGCACAAUGGGCGCAAGCCUGAUGCAGCAACGCCGCGUGAGGGAUGACGGCCUUCGGGUUGUAAACCUCUUUUAGUAGGGAAGAAGCCUUCGGGUGACGGUACCUGCAGAAAAAGCACCGGCUAACUACGUGCCAGCAGCCGCGGUAAUACGUAGGGUGCAAGCGUUGUCCGGAAUUAUUGGGCGUAAAGAGCUCGUAGGCGGCUUGUCGCGUCUGCUGUGAAAGCCCGAGGCUCAACCUCGGGCCUGCAGUGGGUACGGGCAAGCUAGAGUGCGGUAGGGGAGAUUGGAAUUCCUGGUGUAGCGGUGGAAUGCGCAGAUAUCAGGAGGAACACCGAUGGCGAAGGCAGAUCUCUGGGCCGUAACUGACGCUGAGGAGCGAAAGCAUGGGGAGCGAACAGGAUUAGAUACCCUGGUAGUCCAUGCCGUAAACGUUGGGAACUAGAUGUAGGGCCUGUUCCACGGGUUCUGUGUCGUAGCUAACGCAUUAAGUUCCCCGCCUGGGGAGUACGG
rnacentral:rRNA from 1 species